GUGUUUGUGUGUCAAGUUGGCAAGGG
rnacentral:misc_RNA from 1 species